rnacentral:rRNA from 1 species
UACGGAGGAUGCAAGCGUUGUCCGGAAUGAUUGGGCGUAAAGCGUCCGCAGGUGGCUGUGUAAGUCUGCUGUUAAAGAGUGAGGCUCAACCUCAUAAAGGCAGUGGAAACUACAUGGCUAGAGUGCGUUCGGGGCAGAGGGAAUUCCUGGUGUAGCGGUGAAAUGCGUAGAGAUCAGGAAGAACACCGGUGGCGAAAGCGCUCUGCUAGGCCGCAACUGACACUGAGGGACGAAAGCUAGGGGAGCGAAUGGG